rnacentral:lncRNA from 1 species
CCUCCCCCACCGCCUCCUCCUUAACGGUAUCAGAGUCUUGAUUUGACCUCGGUAAAUUUCUCCUUCGGCGGACACUGAACUAAAAAGGAAAAUUAUUGGCUUAGGGCAUACGUGUUUCGUAUGGCUAAUAUUUCAACAAUUUGCUUUUCAAUGGUCUUUUCGGGAUUUGCCUUUUUGACAAGCGUUUGAAAGUAUAGUGUCAUUUGAGUAACGCAGAUGUCGUAAAUUAGCAAUUAUGCCUUUCCUUUAAAACAUAGAACUGAGCUUCCUAAUCCUAAAGAUGUGAAGAGAUGCUUUAUAAAUCCAGCAUUUACAUAUUAAAUCCGUUUGUAAAAGUAAAUGAAGAGCCCUAAAGGCCUGUGAGGUGUGAUCCCUUCAGACUACCAGGCUCCAACUCAGGGCUGGACUUGAUGGAAAAAGAAGUUUAUAAACAAGCAACCCAAUUUCUCCAAAUUAUUCGAGGAGCUGCCUAGAAGUCAAGCAACAGAACCCAGCAAAGUUUUGCUUGCGAUUUACAACGAUGUUGUUGAAAUCUGGGAGGUGAACAAUUAGAAGACGACAGCCAAAAUAUGCUCUCUUGCCCUACGCUGAUAGCUGGUUAUGCAAUUGGCUGAUCAGCGUUUUGCAGCCGUCCCCAGAUCGUUGUUCAAAGUCAUUUUGUGGUUAAAAUAAAAACUACAUUCAACAGACA